UACGUAGGGGGCAAGCGUUGUCCGGAUUUAUUGGGCGUAAAGAGCGUGUAGGCGGCCAGGCAGGUCUGCUGUGAAAACUCGAGGCUUAACCUCGAGCUGUCGGCGGAAACCAUCUGGCUAGAGUCCGGAAGAGGAGAAUGGAAUUCCCGGUGUAGCGGUGAAAUGCGCAGAUAUCAGGAAGAACACCCGUGGCUAAGGCGGCUCUCUAGUACGGUACUGACGCUGAGACGCGAAAGCGUGGGGAGCGAACAGG
rnacentral:rRNA from 1 species